UGAGUUUGAGUAAGCUCCGGGAGUUGGUGUUGGACAGGGAGGCCUCGAGUGCUGCAGUCCACGGGGUCUCAGAGUUGGACACAACUGAGCAACUGAACUGAACUGAGACCCAUGUCUAGAAAUGAGUAUGGAUUUACGAUUGAGAUCCUGCAAGGGAAAAAUGUGUAAUCCACUAAUAAAGACUCCAAGCCCCUAUAAUCUCAAGCAACAACCUGCAAACUUCUUACUCUCAACUUCAGAGGAUGUUAAGCUUGAGUUAACACUGUCACAUGGAAUCUAUUGUUUUAAAUAUAAUAUUAAAAGUGGCCAACAUAUUCUAAAAAA